rnacentral:rRNA from 1 species
UACGGAGGAGGCAAGCGUUAUCCGGAAUUACUGGGCGUAAAGCGUGCGCAGGCGGGCUUUUAAGCCAGACGUGAAAUCCCCGGGCUUAACCUGGGAAUGGCGUUUGGGACUGGAAGUCUGGAGUGCGGCAGAGGAGACUGGAAUUCCUGGUGUAGCAGUGAAAUGCGUAGAUAUCAGGAGGAACACCGAUGGCGAAGGCAGGUCUCUGGGCUGACACUGACGCUCAUGCACGAAAGCGUGGGGAGCAAACAGG